AUUGAACGCUGGCGGCAGGCCUAACACAUGCAAGUCGAACGAGCGGCGGACGGGUGAGUAAUGUAUGGGGACUGCCCGCUAGAGGGGGAUAACUACUGGAAACAGUGUCUAUUACCGCGUACUGUAUGGUGAUCCAUAUGGGAUUAUCUAGUAGGUAAGGUAAUGGCUUACCUAGGCGACGAUCCCUAGCUGGUCUGAGAGGAUGAUCAGCCACACUGGGACUGAGACACGGCCCAGACUCCUACGGAGGCAGCAGUGGGGAAUAUUGCACAAUGGGCGCAAGCCUGAUGCAGCCAUGCCGCGUGUAUGAAGAAGGCCCUAGGGUUGUAAAGUACUUUCAGUCGGGAGGCGUUACCGACAGAAGAAGCACCGGCUAACUCCGUGCCAGCCGCCGCGGUAAUAC
rnacentral:rRNA from 1 species